rnacentral:rRNA from 1 species
AGAGUUUGAUCAUGGCUCAGGAUAAACGCUGGCGGCGUGCCUAACACAUGCAAGUCGAACGCACUGAGAGAUCAGUGAGUGGCGGACGGGUGAGUAACACGUGGGGACCUACCCUAGGGUGAGGAAUACCGGCGAGAAAUCGUCGACAAGACCGCAUAGGCUCGGCUCAAGCCGAGCAAAGCCCCGCAAGGGGUGCCCGGGGAUGGACCUGCGGCCGAUUAGCUGGUUGGUGAGGUAAGAGCCCACCAAGGCGACGAUCGGUAGCUGGUCUGAGAGGAUGAUCAGCCACACUGGGAUUGAGAACGGCCCAGACUCCUACGGGAGGCAGCAGUGAGGAAUUUUCGGCAAUGGGGGCAACCCUGACCGAGCAACGCCGCGUGCAGGAGGAAGGUCUUCGGAUCGUAAACUGCUUUUCUCGGGGAAGAGGAUGGACGGUACCCGAGGAAGAAGCCCCGGCUGACUACGUGCCAGCAGCCGCGGUAAUACGUAGGGGGCGAGCGUUGUCCGGAGUGACUGGGCGUAAAGCGCCCGCAGGCGGUCCGUGGCGUUUGAGGUAACAGCUCCUGGCUUCACUGGGAGAGCGUCUCAAAAACGGGCGGACUUGAGGGCCAGAGAGGGACACGGAAUUCCGGGUGUAGUGGUGAAAUGCGUAGAUAUCCGGAGGAACGCCGAAGGCGAAGGCAGUGUCCUGGCUGGCACCUGACGCUGAGGGGCGAAAGCUAGGGGAGCGAACGGGAUUAGAUACCCCAGUAGUCC